UACGUAGGGUGCGAGCGUUGUCCGGAAUUACUGGGCGUAAAGAGCUCGUAGGCGGUCUGUCGCGUCGGCUGUGAAAACCCGAGGCUCAACCUCGGGCCUGCAGUCGAUACGGGCAAACUAGAGUACUGCAGGGGAGACUGGAAUUCCUGGUGUAGCGGUGAAAUGCGCAGAUAUCAGGAGGAACACCGGUGGCGAAGGCGGGUCUCUGGGCAGUAACUGACGCUGAGGAGCGAAAGCGUGGGGAGCGAACAGG
rnacentral:rRNA from 1 species